rnacentral:rRNA from 1 species
GACGAACGCUGGCGGCGUGCCUAAUACAUGCAAGUCGAGCGGGGCUCGAGGGGAGCUUGCUCCUUGAGAGCCCAGCGGCGGACGGGUGAGUAACACGUAGGCAACCUGCCUGUAAGACCGGGAUAACUCCGGGAAACCGGAGCUAAUACCGGAUAGGACCGGGAGUCGCAUGACUUCUGGUGGAAAGGACGCGAUCCGCUUACAGAUGGGCCUGCGGCGCAUUAGCUCGUUGGUAGGGUAACGGCCUACCAAGGCGACGAUGCGUAGCCGACCUGAGAGGGUGACCGGCCACACUGGGACUGAGACACGGCCCAG